UACGAAGGGGGCUAGCGUUGCUCGGAAUCACUGGGCGUAAAGCGCACGUAGGCGGCCUCUUAAGUCGGGGGUGAAAUCCCAGAGCUCAACUCUGGAACUGCCUUCGAUACUGGGAGUCUUGAGUGUGGUAGAGGUUGGUGGAACUGCGAGUGUAGAGGUGAAAUUCGUAGAUAUUCGCAAGAACACCAGUGGCGAAGGCGGCCAACUGGACCAUUACUGACGCUGAGGUGCGAAAGCGUGGGGAGCAAACAGG
rnacentral:rRNA from 1 species